CCUCAUAUAGUGAGGAUUUUUAAAAGUGAGAUAGAAGAAAACCUCAUGAGCAGAAACUCAUGAGCCUUAAAACUAAUUCAUUUGUACCAUAAAAAGUUAACAAAGUACCAGUAGUUAACAAAGUCAUAUAUUUAUUUUGCCUGCAUAUGGAGAGAAAUAUACUUUCACAACUCUUGAGUUUGGAGAGGCAUUUUAAUACAUUAGUGGGGAAUUUUUCUUUUUUCUUUUUUCAUGGUCUCGUUAAGGAAAUAGCCAUUUUCCACUAAAGGGUUAUACUGGAAACCUCUCCUGUCUGACAGCCUGAGCUGAUUGGUCAGGCUAUAGGGCAUGUUUGUUUCCUGCUUGACAUAGUAGGUUUUGCACAAUGGGUGAAAAACACUGUCAUUUUUGUCAUCACUGAUGGAUGAUGUUAUAACAUCAUGGUGGAUAGUGUUAUAAAAUAAAUCAACUCUCUGUAGUUUUUCUUUUCUUGAUAUCUUGAUUAUUUAAGUCAGAUGUAUUUCUUUUCUGAGAUCUAGCAGUUUUCUCUGUGUUUUAAAGGUGUGUAUGUCUAAUUUAUUUAAACGUGUCUAUAAAUGAAGAUUGUUCUGUUUGCUAUUCAGAUUAGUUGUUUUGGAAGCAAAAGUUCAGGUUUUAUGUGUUACGUCUUUGUAAAAGAGAAGCACAGACAUUUACAGUUUCUUUGUAGGAUAUGCCUACAAAACAGCAGUCACCAAUAAGAGACUUACUUGAAAAAUUUGUGUGUCUUCCAAAAGGCUCUCCAAGUUCUUAAUGCUACACAGUUUUCAGUGUUGAAGAUGUGUGCACAGGAAUCACUAAUGUGGGUUUUUAGGGGGAUGCAAGACCUCAAAUCUGUCUGUAAUGUUCAUUUUUUUCUUACUGUAAAGGAGAACCAGCACAUAUUAAGCUCCAUUGUUGAUAAUUUGAGAACACGAACCAAAUAACUUUGUUCUAAAUAACUAUAUAGCAAUUGAACAUACAGGAUAAUCUUCAUUCUUGGUUAUCAGAGAAAAUGUUGAGUCAGGGGGAAAACUGGAAGUGGAAAGCAGUGGACACCAAGGAAAACCCCACAAGAAGGGAAAAUUAGCUGUUAGGGAUGCUGUAAUGUAAGAAUCCAGGGCAGGUGGAAGGAACCAAAGACUUUACUGCUGUUAUUCUACUCUGUGCCUUUUAAUGUUCUAUGUUUGUAAAAUAGUACUGAUUUACAUUCAUGAUAGAUUUAUUACUUUCUCCUCUUUUUGUCCAUAAAACAAAACAGGCAAAUGGGAAUAAAUUUACUUGCUUAGAGCAAUUAGGUUAGUCAGAGACCACCUUAGUUUCCACAAAGAUGUGGUACCUGAGGGCUGGAGGUUUGGACCGUGGUUUUAUGUACUUAUUUUUAUUCUUUGUAAUAAAUUGUAUAGUCAGUAAGUGGCUUGUGGUUUAGGGUUGGGGGGGUGGCAAAAAAGAUGGAAAGAGAAAGAGAGAAGGAAUUUCUUUUUAGCUUUAUUUUUAAACCAAAACUUUUAUUUUAAUAUAGAAAGGAGCAAGAGUUUUUCUUCUGACAAGUUAUGCUUUCUUUUUAUCUAAUAUUGAACUAAUGGUGGGCAAUUUUUGACUUAAUGUUCAGUGAACAUCUUGAACUCUUCCUGAGUUACGGAUUUCCUCAU